CAAUAAGGUUCGUGCUCCUAUGAGAAUCUAAUGCCACUGCUGAUCUGACAGGAGGCGGAGCUUAGGUGGUAAUGCUUGCUUGCCUGCUGCCCACCUCCUGCUGUGUGGACCAAUUCCUAAUAGGCCAUGGACCAGUACCAGUCCGUGUCCUGGGGGUUGGGAACCCCUGCUGUAGAGGGUCAGGGUAGUGGAGCUAAUACAAGGUAAGGCCCAGGAGCCUCGUGCAGCAUCAAUAAAUGCGACCUAUAUAGUGAGAAGGGGGGGUCCUGUAUCAGGUGAGGCCAUAGGUGCCUGUAUAGGCUGAGGUCAGGGCUUAAAGUAAAUGGUCAAGACAGGCAUUCCUGCCAUAAGGUCAGGAAGUGGUUUUCUAUACAAGUUAAAGACUGAGGUUCAUGUUGAGAGUUGGAUCAUGGGUUCCUGUGGACUCUAUGGGAUAGGGUGUGAGGUCAUGGAUUGUUGUGCAGGGCAACAUCAGGGAUCAUUGUCAACAAUGAAGGCAAGAGGUUCCACACACAGUCAGGGUCCUUGAAGAGGUUGAGGACAGGGAUUUCUGUAAAGACAGAGCUGGGUCCAUGGUUUACUACUCAGAUUAUUGUGAGUGAGGUGUUUUUAAAAUGCUACCUGGAGGACAGGACUGCAGCAGUGUGAGUACAAAGGUGUUCCUGUCUGAGGUCAAGACAGGAUUCGUAUAGGGAGACUGAGGCUUGUGUGGAUGGUCAGGACAAGGGUUCCUGUCCAGGGUGUGCAGGGGCUUCCUUACAGCUUAGUCCAGAUGUCCCUAGCUGGGGUUAGGCAGAGGUUCCUCCUAUUCAGGGUAAGCGCUGGCAUUCCUGUACAGGAUCAGGAUGGGUUUCCUGUCGAUAAUUAGAUGAAGGGCUCCCCUAGAGCUUCAGAGCUAGUCUUCUGUACCAGGCUGGGGGAGCUAUACUUAUGGGGGUGAGGCCCGGGGCUCCUGAACAAGGUGGGGCCAGACAUGUGUCCAGCACAGGUUCUGAAGGGGGUUUUUAGAGGAUGGGGCCUCCUGCAGGGUGUGAGGGCUGGGCUUCUGAGGGGAGGCCAGACACGUGUCUUUUAUGGGAUCAGGGCUGUUGUGGACAAUGCCCACAGUGAGCAUAAUAGACUCCUGUGAUUCUGCAGCAGGCUACUUAGUGGAGCUGGAAUGCCCGCUAGCUGAUGGGCUGGUGUUCUGUGGAGGACAGCUGCUUACCUAUAAUAUGGUCAGGACCUGUGGGUCCCUGCAACCCCCAUAUCCGGGGCUCUAGGGAAGAAGCCAUAAAGAGCGGUUAAGUGUGAGCAGCACUUAUUUGCUGGGCUGGGUGUGUCACCCCAUCCAAAAUCCACUCCUUAAACUUGGUGGUCAGGGUAAGUUACUCAUCAGUUCUGGGCCUCACUCUUCCAUUAGUGAAAUGAGUAUGGGUAUAUUUUCCUCAGAAUAUUUAUUUCAGGCACUAAUGAACUAAAGCAACUGGAGCCUCCCAGCCUGCCGCCUGACCCACAGUGAGCCCUUAGGAAAGGGUGCUGCUGGCUGUGGGGUGUGGCUGAGCACAUGGACACCAGGCCAGACUGCCCCGCUGGGCCCCUUGCCACUGGCUGUGUGGCCUCCAUUGAGCCACUUAAGCAGUCUGCCUUAGGAUGCUUAAGGCAUGACUCAGAUUAUGCUCCUGUGUGUUUGUGAAAUUGAGGAACAGACUCCGCUGUGGGGGGAGCAGUUCACCCAGGGCUGCAGGCUGAGCUGGGCUGAGCAAGAUAAGACCAGUCCGACAGGAAGACCCACGGACAACCCUGCGCCCCAGCACUGGCCUCUGACCUUGCCAGCUACCAUUCCAGCUCCACCCUUCUCCGUGUUCCUUUCCUGAAUGUGUCUUUUGUCCCUUGGAAGAGAGUCCCUAACUUAUACCCUCUGAAACUCUGCUGUUGAGACCUCCACAAACAAAUGUACACAGAGCUGCUCAUGUUGUCAGCCACUCAGAGACACUGUGACAUGGCACAUGCCACACGUAAUGCACACACACGCACACCCAUGCCCAUGCACAGGGACUUGCACUGAAAUAUUGCCAUCGCCAGACCCACAAACACAUCCUGACACACACUUCUUGUUCAACAUUCCAAGAAUCUUUACCAGAUUCUGUGCCCACCACGUAUGCUGUCAUGCUGUCUAAAAGGUCCCCCAGCGUCAUGCCGUCUCAAAGGUCCCCCAGCGUCAUGCCCAGCCACAAGACCACAGCCCCGCACACCUCCUUAUCACCUGCUCCAGCACACACACUUCCAGUGUGCUUAUAGUCACCCGGCACCACCCCCACCGUCAGCAAGCCCUGCGUGGCCUCUUACCAUGACAUAUGGAACCACCUGGACACUUCACAAGAAGUUUCACAUAGAUUGUUCCAAUCACACAACAUAACCCUUGGUCACAAAGUGUCACAUGUGCCGCCUCAGCCAGCCUCACAUGGUCACACAUUGCAGCCAUGCACUGUCAUCAGAGAGCCACAGGCAUUGUUACACACUCCACUCAGCUCUGCUGUUCAGCCACACAUAGACACACCCACAAUUUCAGGACUUUGGUGGUUUUAUUUUACAAAAGCUUUGAAGGUUCAAGCCAGG
rnacentral:lncRNA from 1 species